UUUUUUUUUUUUUUUUUUUUUAUCUUAAUGACUCAUGCAAUAUAAAGAUAAUACAACUUGGAUAUUGACCAUGAAUAAGACAAUGCACUUGCGCAAUAUAUGUAAACUCACCGCAAGUUGUCUUGCAAAAAAAAAAUAGCGAAAGUAGAUCACACGCACGGUCUCUUUGUUUGCAGGAGAUUUUAUAAUCUAAGUGUUUCAUUCAAAGUUUUGUUUGACAAUCUGAAGGUAGUAGUGGAAAAUUUAGACAUAGAUUUCAUUUCUUUAAAGUUGUUAAGCCUUUCAAGAUGCAUCAUCUUAAUUGGAUUCACAUUUUCAUCUAGUUGUUUGAAGACAAAAAACAAACUUCAUCUAUUUGGCAAAAGACAAAAAUGGAAAAAAAAAAAAAAAAAAAAGAAGGGAAGAGAUGGGAAGGAAGAAGCUAAAAAAUAAAUGGUGGCCGUUCAUUAACAAUGGCUAAUUUCCCCAUCAGUUAAUCAAGACCAACUAAACUAAUUAACAAUGGCUACUUCAUUCAUUCCCAAUUGGUUUUGAAGUAAAAGUUUAUAUUCUUUAACAUGUUUUCAAAGGUAGUACUUGAUCAUGUUCCAUUCACACAUGACUCGAACUCUAUGUAUUGAGCUUGGUUUCAUAGACUUUUGCUAUGACAAUGCUCUGAUUCAUUUAGCCUGUUUUUUGGCUCUUAACUAGUAAAUUUUGUCUUAAUUAUAAAUCUAGUCCACUUGAUCUGUUUAGCAAGUCACAUUAAUCUGUUCAGCUCAAGUCAAGGGUAAGAGGGAGUGUUUGCCAAUUAAUUUUAAGAUGAAAAUAACCUCAGAUUCUGCAGCAGUGACAUUCAAUAAUUGAGUUACAAAUGUAAAACAAAAAGCUAAAACUACUCAAAUUAGUGCUAACAUAUAUAGGUUACCUUAUACAUGUACGUACAUAUUAUUGUAAGGUCAAAUGUGAUAUUCAUUGUACUUUAGAAUCAGCUUACGCGUAACAAGAACUUAGCUCCAGUGGUGCGAUACUGGUUCAUACUUCAUAUUAAUGCGGGAAGAAAGAGUUCCCUGUAAUCAAAUUUACGUCCUGCUUCUUUUCACAGCAAAUUAACUUAUAUAAAAGUAAAAGGAACACGUUUUUUUUGCUGCAGCUACGAUCAUGAGUUAUUGAUAUAUAAUCCAAUUUUUAUGUGGAGAGUUAGUAUAUGACCGAAUUAUUGGUCGUUGGGACAUUAUUUUAUUUUCUUUUCAGCGUUUUGUUUGGACAAAUUAAGGUAGUUGGGAGUUGAGACUUGCAUUGAAGAAUCUAAGCCGAUGAAUGAGAAUGCAUCUUAGGAUAAUGUUUUAGGUGAUCGAUUAAUUCAGCAUAUUGAUUGUUUUAAAUUCAGCCUACAGUUUUAUCAAACAAGCACAUAACAAUCUCAUUGAAUGCAUAUAUUCAAAUGCAGGUGCUUCUUCUUCUUCUUCUUCUUCUUCUUCUUGUGUUCCAGACUUCAUUAUGCAUAAUCUUGUAUAACUUAUUAUUGCAAGUGCCCAUGUUUGCUUCAAUAACCCUGGAAUGGGUAAGAUAUGCAUGGUGAAAAUUAUUUCUUCUUAAAAGGUGAUUUUUCACAAAAUCCCAGGUGAGAGAUCUCUUCCAAUAAUUAGUUAUCUAUAUUUAUGUAAAUUUGAGAAGGGAUUUUCAGCAAUAUUCCUCCACACACCUUCCACUCUCAAUUCUAUUUUUCUAGCAUUUCACAUUUAAUUUAUUCUAUAAAAUACAUUCCUCUUAACUCCCGCUGCAUGUACUAUUGAUAUUUAGUUACUUUUCAAAAUCAAUUCAUCAUGUGACCAAUAUCCUUUACAAUUAAAAUAACUCAUUAUUUGCACGUUCAACACCAUUUUAAGUCAUUAGUGUACAUGUCUUUCAAAUCACCACCAUGUUUGCAUCUUUGAACUCAACACAUUUUCCAUUGGCAUGUGUCAAAUAUGAAUUUCACUCCAAUUAAGAUUUUCCCAGGACCAUAAUAAGAGACGUUUUCGUUUUUGAACUCAACAACUUUCCCAUUGGCAUGUGUCAAAUACAUACGAAUUUCACUCCAAUUAAGAUUUCUCCAAAAUCAUAAUAAGAGAUAAAAACAUAGCAUCCUUCAACCACAACACUUCAUUCUUGCAACCAAAAAAAGAAAAGGACAAAAACCACAAUAUUUCAUGGGUAUCUAUCAACUUUGCCCAUUGCUUAUCCUAUCUGUUAAUUCGUCAUAAUAGUUCGUCAGCAUCUAUCAUCUCUUCUCAUUGCUGCUUACCUCAUAUGUUCAUUCGUCGUUUUCGUAAAUAAAAACAGGAAUCUAUCAUCUCUUUCAACUUCCUUACAGUAUCCAUCUUAACCCUCGACUUAAUUUCAUCAUGAAAUAUACCCACCUACAAGGUUAAAUAUUUUUGAAUACUUGCUUACAUUCAAAACAUUAAUAUAAACAAUUCGUUCUAUGAGUUAUGCAAAAAUUGUGGAUAACUAUGUCAAUCUCAUUUUGCAAAAAUAGUGUGUGUUCAUUGUAAUGACGUAGUCAACACUAUUGUCAAGUAAUUGUUUUCAUAUAUCUUUAAUUUUAAUAUAAUUUUCUGUAUCAUACAUUACAUUUUCUUCUUAAUAGAUACAAUGUGAACAUAGAAGUUAGAGAUUCUAGUGGUAACUUAUACCUUAAUCUUCAAGACAUGCAUGUACGAUUCAUAUUUUGUUGUGAUACUUCUUAUCUUUACGAUUUAAAAAGGAAGAAAUAAAUUAUUUAUACGUAUAUAUUUUUAUACAAUAUUAUUCACAAACUUUCAAAAAAAAGAGAUAAUUCUAAAUUCUGUUUGCUCUUAAUUCUAGGAAAAUAGAGGUACAUUGUUCAACCAACACAUUAACUCAUCGAAAAAUUGUGCCUUCUCAUUUAUAGUACGAACUCCAUAAAAUUCAAUAAAAUUAAUUAAUCCCCCCAAUAUUGGCGUUCGUACUUAGAGUUGAUUGGUGUGAAGAAUGUUCACACCUUCAUAGAAGAUCAUCAAAUCGAAAGCAAAAUAUUUGUAAGUUUAAAUAUUCAAUUUCUUUUAAUUGGACCCUUAUAUCGCUCAGUUUAUGAUAUACAUUUCUACUUUUUUUUUUCAAGAUUCGACUUCCAUCAAAUGUGGUAGUUUAUAAAUAAUGGAGAUAUUUUUAUCAUACUUGGAGCUAUUACUACAAAAUUUCAUUUUUUUUAACUAUGUUUUGAUGUGCCCUAAAUUAUAUGAACAAUUACAUAAAUUUCUUAUUCUUUUUAAAUUCCUCCCUCGAUUAUUGGAGUUGUUCAGAACUAACACAUAGUUUCAUUUUAAAGUCCGAAACCAUUCUCCCAAAAAAGGAAAAAAAAAAAAAAAAAGUCCUCAAACCUUCUUAAUUCCCUGUUGGACUUGUACCAUGUAUUGUGUUGGAGAAUUGGAGAAGGUCCAAUCUGCCAACUAAUGUAAGCCCGUGAUUCUAUUUUGGGUUAGCUUUUCGGCCUAAGAAACAUAAUGUUCCAGUAUUUCUCCUUUUCUUGGUGAAAUGUGCACUUUCAAGGCUCGGAGAAUGAGAAUCACCAGCCCACCCAAGAUCAACCCAGAAACCUUGUUUUGUCCACGUAUGUUCAUUGCAGUGCUAGAUUGGAUAGAGUACACUAACAACCUCUCCUCAAAUUUGUUAAAAAACUAGAGUACGCUAAAUUGGGUCUCAUUUGAUUGAUAUUUUCUAAAAUUUUUGUAGAAAAUAUAUUAUAAUGAUUUAAUAUAUGUAAGAUUAAAAAAAUGAUAAGAAAUAUGUUCACGGAAAAUGCAAAAAUUUUUCAGUAGAAAACUACAAUCCAAACACCUACGUCCUUCAUUUGAAAAUUAUAGAAACCUCCCUCUUGUUUGGUAGACUAAAUCAGAAACCUUUAAUUGGAGUAAAAUGACAUCCCACAAAAUAUCUCCAUAUGAUAUUUAAAUUUCCCUUUUCAAUAAUAGCAAGACAAGAAUAGCAUUUUAUGUUUACCAAUUUUUUUGGACUAACUAGAGAGAGAGAGAGAGAGAGAGAAAAAAAGGAGAAUUGGCAGCUGGUGCUUUUGUUGAUGGAAUGUCUGAUGUAAUAGUGUUAAACAUUGGAGUAUUACAGAUGUAGUAGGAGCUCUUCUCCAUUGUAAAGCUGAAUUUGGAUAUCAAUAAAAUGAUAGUUUUCUUGCUAAAACAAAAAAAUUGAGAAAUUUUUUUGCCUUAGCUCACUUUGUUUUUUCAAUUGUACUUUGCCCUUGGCAACUAUCAUGGUCUAAUAAAUCUCAUGUUUGGUUAUGCUUUUUCGAGAUAAUAAUUAACUAUUUAAUUUAAGUCUGAUUCUACAAUGCAUUCUACAAGAGAAUAAGAGGCAAAUGUUUUAUAGGAAACACAAAAGUAGGAAAGAUGACCAAAGGCCCAAAAGAAAAGUACCAAAAGAAAAGAGUGAAGAAAAAGAUGCAAAUUUGUUCGCAUGCACUUAUCACCUAUAGUGAUAUGUGGAGAGCACAUGGAAGGGGCCCGGGGUCUUCAUUAUUACAAAAUUAAGAUGAGGGGUCCCUAACUUUUCUAAAACUACUUGUUAUGAGAAAAUAGAUUGCUGCAUCCUUUUGUGUAUAAUUAAAAAUGGUAAGUAAUUUUAGGUGUAUAAUCAUCGUAAAUAUUCAAUUACUAUCUAUAAGAAUAUAUGUUAAUUUUUAAGUAUAUAUUAUAGCAUUUGAUGAAUACUAUUAGAUUAUAUGACUUCAUGUAUAAAAAAAAAUUAAAAAUAGAAUGGUAGUUGUACGUUUAGAAUGUGAACAAAUUUAAGAGAAUAUUGGUUAUAUUUCUUUAAAAGAAAUUAGUAAUGGACAGCGUAAAACACUAGUUUAAUAUAUAAUUAAAUUGUGUUAGAAUGGUAGAGGAUUAGAAAUGAAUGAUUAGAGAAAUUUUAAUAAUGUACAAUUUUGAUCUAGAGAGUAGUGGGUUAUUCAAAUUCGAUAUGGGAUUUGUUUCUAAUAAUUUUACAAUUACAUGUACAAUAAAAAAAAUGCAAAAAAAAAAAGUGAUCAAUGUAUAUUAAUACCAUAUAUUAAAUCCUAAAAUUUUUAAUGCAAGUGGCAUGCAAAGUUUCAAAUUGGGACGUUACACUUACCUUUCAAAGACACAGGUAGCGUAUUCCAACAACUAUUCGUAUCUCUCUUUAGUCAAUAUCAAUCAAAAGGUCUUUUUCUUUUAAUACGAGAAUGGUUCCAAUUGAUACAGUUGUGUCGCAAAAAAUAAAAAUGAGAGAUUUUUUGCGACACUGGAAAAGAACAGUUAUCAACCAUGAAAUGCCAAAAGUUAAGCAUUCAAACAAGAAUGAUUAGAAAUAUCGUCUGAGAAAGAAUGGGUCCAACUCCAACCAGCAUCGCUAUAGUAGUAAAUUUUUGUCCGGCUAAAGCCUUCUCCAUCCAUGAAAAGUGAUUUGGCCAUUUCUAAUUUAAAUUAGUGCAAUUUGGGAUCCCUGUUGGAGUCAAUAGAAAUGAUUGCACUUUGGGCGAUUUCAAAUCCAAACCAACCUUUCCAAGAGCAAGUUUAUGCCUUCUUUAGUGGAGGGGCCAAAAAAACUGAAAGUAGUUCUUUGUCCAAUAUUCACACUCUUUUCUUAAUUGAUGGAAUAAUAUAGAUUUAAGUUUAGAGGGAUUUAAUGACUCUCUUUUUCCUCUGUCAUUUUUCCCCCUCUUAAAAAGUGGCAAAAAAGUAGCCAAUUGAUGUGAUGGAAUGACAUAAUCUUGUUGGCCCUUUUUUUUUGGGGGGGGGGGGGGGGGUGUGGGAGAUGGAAGGAAUAAGGUUUUAAAGUUUCAAAGAGUAUUGUGAGCUCUUUUAUUAAGUCAAUUGUGCAAAACUCAAACCAAAAAUUGUUUAUGAUUUGAAAAAAGCUAUAUUUUUUCCCUUUCUUUCAAGAAGAAUCAAUAAUAGUUCUCUACCUACCCCUCUGAAAAAAGUCAUAACUUAAUUAGAAUCUUUGGAGGGGGGAAGGGGGUGGGGAGAAUGAGUUGGAUGAUACAGAAGAGGAAGCGCGAAUGAGAGAUACUUGGAUCGAAACCUCUCACUUAUACUAAAAAAUAUUUAAUUAGAAAAUGAAAUAGACAUCUAGACGUGAUAACCCCUUGACAACUCAGGUGAACUGUCCCCAUGUUAUUUGAUCGCAGGUUGUUCAUGUCUAAAGCUAAACUUACGUCUAAAGUGUUUCUAAGAUUCUAUUUCUGCCAACAGUGGUGCCAACAUAGCAAUUUUGUAGUAAUAAUUAAGUCAAGAUGGAAGAUUCUAUCACCACUGAAACCUCAAAUCUUUGGGUCACUAAUUCAUAAGCCGUAAGUUGGGAUUCCACGUCUACUAAAAUAACAAAUUUCUAGUAAUAAUUAAGUCAAGAUCGACUAUCUAUUUCCAUCAAAGCUGCAAAUCUUUGGAGACACUAAUUUAUAGGUUGUAAAAUUAGCUCAGUGCUUGAGCCUUGUAGAAUAAUUCAUAUGUUUAGAUCUUAUCUAGUUAGCCAUGAAGGUUGUUAUGUAGACACUCAGAAACUAAAAAACAAAAGCCUUUGAAGGACUUUGUUUUGUUUUUCUUAACUCUUGCCCAAUUGUAUUAGGAAUGGCAACGGGCCCGCCCCGCUGUCCACUAAUUUCCCUGUCCCGCCCCUCGUCCUUGCUCCCCCCGCCCCACCCUCGCAGGGCACCUACGAGACUAAUAAAAAUUUAUCAUAUAAUUUUAUUACAGUUAAAUUUUAGCAAAUAAUCAAGUAUUAAAAUAUCAACAUAUCAUCAAGUUAUUAUUCAUUGUAAUUUUACAAUUGAAAUCCAUAAGAAUAAUCAAAUAAAAGUUAUUUAAAUGCAAUCCAACAUGAUGAAACAAAUACAAUUAAAGUAGUCAAGUUUUCACUUUUGACACAAAUACAAUCACUAAGGCUUUAUUGUGUUUUUUUUUUUGACAAAAAAGUAUUAUUGUGUUAAGUGUAAUUAGCAAUUUAGUAUAAAUAUAUUAGUAAAUUUAGUAUAACUAAUUAAUAAUUGCUAUUAGUAGACAUGUAUAAUUAUUAGUAUAAUUGAUAAUGUCAAUUAUAUUACAUAUACUAAUAUACAUUAUAUAAUAUUUAUAACUAAUAAUAUCAUUAUUAUAAGUUUACAACUAAUUAAAUUAAAUAUUAUAUAUAUAAUUAUAUACAUAGAUUUAUUUAUUUAAUUUUUUUAACCGAUGGCGAGACGGAGGAUGGGACGACUCCCUCGCCCCGUUUCUAAACAGGGAAAAUUUUUUUUUCCCUCUCAUUAGCCUCGUGAGCACCCGCUUCAAUUGCCAUCCCUAAUUUGUAUUCCCUUACAAAACAUUAGAGGAGUUCCAGCUCCACAUAUGAUUGUAACCGGCCAGCCUUAUUUCACAUCGUUGUAUUUCUUUAUUGUCUAAAAUUUCUUUGAUAUCAAAUGAAAUAAUCAACAACAAAAUCCACCAAUUAGAUAGAAGAGUCCACUUCAACGUUCACCUUACCUAUUAAGCAACAAAUCAAAGAUAAGGUCAAACAUUACCAACAGAGGUGUAAUACAAAGUCAAGAAACUCCUCUUCCUCGAUUAACUAGAACAAAAAAAAAAAAAAAAUGCUCCACACCACACGUGUCCCAUAUCCAACCGAUUAUCUCAACAUUUUAAACUGGGAUAAUUUGAGAAACCUCCCCGUGAGAUUUCUAUCAGUUUUACUUAACACUCUUGAAGUUUUAAAUAUAUCACUUGCCUCCCCUAACUUCAAAAUUUUGAAACAUUCUCAAUUAAAUCCAAAUUAUAAGAUUAAAAUACACAUUUUAGGAAAGAGAAAAUAAUUUCUUUCCAACAAUACCCGUCUUGUUACCUUACUUUUUUGAACUCUAAUUAUAAUAAUCUAAUAUUAAAAAUAAGGACAAAAAAUAUGAACGUGCAAUUUUUCUAGAUGAACAAAAUGUAGUAACCGCAAUCAUAAGUAAUAUACUUUUUUAAGUGCAAACAAAUAAUAGAAGUUUAUUUAACAUGUUUUCAAAAUGCAAAAUAAUUUUUUUCUUUAGGAUUUGUCUAUUUAGUACUCUAAGGUCACAUAGUAAGAAAUAAACCCGAUAUGAUUGUUAUUAUUUUUUUUUUUGAUAAAAGCGUAGAUUUCUUUUCACAAAAGUGUUGCAAUUCAGGUGUGUUGCUUUGAUUUUGAAACUUCAAUAUUGGACCUACCUUUAUGUAGUUAUAAGCUUAUCGUGUGCCCUUAGAUUACCAAAUAAGAAAAAUCUUUCUUUUUAUUUAAAAUAUUUUGAUUGAAUUUAAUAAUUUUUUAUGAAAUGUUUAGAAUCUUUAAUUUUUGUUUAUCUAGAUGAAUGGCUUCAAAAUUUAGAAAAGGAAGCAAAAUUAAAAUUACAUUUAAAACUUAUUUGAGAUAUUUAGAAGGUAAAAAAAAGUUAUUUUCUACAUCUUUACAAUAUUACAAAUAGUUUUACAUGCUUUGUUAAUUAUUUAUAAUUUGUCUAUUUUAAAUUUUGUCUCUAAAUUAUAAAUAAGAUUUGGUAAAGGACAUCUCAACCCAAAACUUAUAAAUUUUCAUUAAAGAACAAAUCUAUGAAGUUUUCAAAUAUCAAGAGAUUUUAAAUUGAUUUAUCAUUACAACUAAUGAAUCACAACAAAAAGGUAACUUUAGAAUGAAAUAAUUUUCUCUUUCCUAAACAUAGUAUUUUAGUCAUAUAAUUUGAAUUUAGAUUGAGAAUGUUAUAAACAUUUAAAAUUAGGGGAGGUAAACAAUAUUUUUAAAAUUUUAAGGGGUUAAGUAAAAUUAUCAGAAACCUCAGGUGAGGUUUCCUAAAUUAUCCCUUUUAAAUUUAUGUACGUCAGUUAGUUUUUGCCGUUUACUUUCACCAUCCCAAUUUUCCCGGCAUUUAGCAUAUAGCUGACGUGUCAAGUUCGCAUUAGCUACCGCAGCUCACGCGGUUCAAUGCGUGUUGCAAACGGAUCCCAAAGUUCACAAGUGCAAGUUGAUAAGCAGACACAAAUUUCUUUGCCUUAUAACCCCUCGUGCCUAUAUAUACCCCUCGUGAUCAAUUUUUCAAGUGCCCCUGCCUCUCUUCAUUUCAUUUGACUUUUUCUGAAGGUUGUAGCCUCUGUUUCAUCAGCUCUGCAAUCAUCCUUUUCCAUUAGGUUCUUGGUAAGUUUUUCUGUUUAUUUUCUGCUGAAUUCAACAGGGCUCUAACCAUUUUAGCAUUUCUUCAUCUGGGCCUUUCUUAUUUUUGGCUAACUAUAUCUUGAUUUGCAUGUUGGCCAUUUUGCAGAAAAGAAUUUGCUUCUACAUUCUAGUUACUAUCAAGAUUCAAUUUUUCUGACAAGGGUCCUUGAUUUUAGGUGAGCUCGUAGCUGUUCUUUCUUAAAAAUUGUGACUUUUUCUUGAUGUUUGAAAUGUUGGCUUAUACGCGGUCUAUUUUAUGGAGGCAAUUUGUUAAUUUUGUGCCUGCAAUUUUGCAUGUUUUGCCUUUCUGCUGAAAAACCCUGUGUGUAUGUUAUAGUUGUUUCAAGUUUCAUUUUUCCAAGAAGGACCCUUGCUAAGGUGAGUUUUUAAUGGCCAUUUCUUGAAAUUACAUUAUUUGAUGUGGAUGAUUUCGUCAAGAAUUGUUUUUGUUGGUAUUGUUGGAUGACUUAAUUUUGAUAAAAUUUUGUGGGAUGUGAAGAUUUUUGUUGGAUUGAUGGCGGUGAAGACAAAUGGAUUUGUUGAAGGGUGUUUGCCUGAGGAAUUGUUGAAGUUGCUGUUGACUCUGGCUUCAACUUGGACAGAUGUAAUUGAUGUGAAUGCCUUUAAGGUGAUUCCACUGAAGGGGGCCAUGACUAAUGAGGUUUACAGGGUAACUUGGCCUACAAAAAGCAAAGAUAAUACAAGAACAGUUUUGGUUCGUGUUUAUGGUGAAGGUGUUGAACUUUUCUUCAACAGGGAUGAGGAAAUCAGGACUUUUGAGUGUAUGUCGAUCCAUGGUCAUGGACCUAGGUUGCUCGGACAGUUUUCUGAUGGAAGAGUUGAAGAGUUCAUUUAUGCUAAGGUUUGUUGAACUUUGUCUAGAGCUACUUUGAAGCUCAUACUUUUUUUUCCGAGUUUGUAAAGAAUUAGAACUAUGACCGGAAAUUGUUACAGUUAUGAUAGCUAAUUGAAAGAUAAUGUUAUCUAUCUGAUGCAAGUCUGAUUUUGUUGCUAGUUCUGCACUUUUAAAGAUCUGGAAGUCCUAUACACCGGUAAAAGACUUUGACACUUGUCAGCAGUAUUAAAUCUAAAAUUUAAUGCUAAAAUCUAGCAUUUUCUAUUGGAAAGUGUUUUAAAGCAUCUCUGAUUGUGUAGAUGCUUAAAUAGCAUCUCUGGACUGCAACCUCAUCGCAAUAAUUAUUUGUGCUGUUCUGAUGAGCCCAGAAAGAUAGAUUAGUUUUUGCUUGACUCUAAUAGCUGUAGUAUGUGGAGCUUUUACCAAUCUGGCUCAUUAUUUUGGCAAAAUUGACUAAAUAGGAAAAGUGAAUAGGUUGGCAGUGACUUAAAUUUUCAGGACCUGUAUGAUUACUGGUUUUUGGAAUUACCUUAACUAAUUGAGUAACGUAAAGCAGUAGACCGUAGCCUGACACCUUCGUCUUGCUAAUCUUUCUUCCUUAAAUGAUGGUUUGCUGAUCUAAGUGCUCUGCUCAAUUUCUCUUGGACUUUCAGACUCUAUCAGCUGCUGACCUCCGUGACCCUGAAAUUUCUGCUCUCAUAGCAGCCAAAUUGAGAGAAUUUCAUAAACUUGAUAUGCCUGGUUCAAAGAACGUUGUGCUGUGGGGCAGAAUGAGGUAUUACCUGACUACUUAAAAUUGAAUAUAGGGCUUUAGAAAAAGAAGUUCCUCUAUUACUGAUAUUUCUUGUUCCUCAGAAACUGGCUAAGGAAAGCCAAGAGUUUGUGUAACCUAGAACAUGUGAAGGAGUUUUGGUUGGAGAAGUUAGAAAAAGAAAUUAGCAUACUGGAAAAGGAGCUGUCCCAGGAUAACCAAGAAAUCGCUUUUUGUCACAAUGACCUGCAAUAUGGUAACAUAAUGAUUGAUGAAGAGACCAGAUCAAUUACAUUCAUCGUAAGUGUCUGCUUUGGUUUCUGCUCUAUUUUACUUCUUUUUAUAGCCAAUCUUAGUUUUAUUUUGAAUUCGGACACUGUUAUUUGUAAUUGGGUUUUUCUGAGUUUUUAUGUGGUGCUUUGUGGGAAGUCGUCAAGGUUCUUUUCAGGGAUAUCAAUUAAAUGAAAAUUUUCUUUUAACUGAACGUUAGAUGACUGAUAUCUUGCAAAGAAGUAAUUACAUGUAUGAAGUUAAGUGCAAUGAAACCAUGCUAAUCUUUAAGCUUCGGUAUUCAUCUUAUGGUUGGCAAACACUUGACAUCAUCUGGUUUGAAGAUACUUUCUGCUUUGGAGGGGUGGGGGUGUCAGGUUGGAAAGGUAGAGUUGUGCGUUUCGUAGACACUUAUCAUGACUUGCAAAAUUAGCUCUUGCUGCUUCUUCUUACCAGAAUAUUUUAAGGUUUAUUAAGCACAGCGGAAGUAUGUGAGAAUGACUGCAAACAAACUCCAGUGAGAAAGGCCUCUCCUUUAUCUUAUAGCUUGACUGUUUCCAUUUUACAGGACUAUGAGUAUUCUAGUUACAAUCCAAUUGCCUAUGACAUCGCAAAUCAUUUCUGUGAGAUGGUGGCAGAUUAUCAUACCGACACUCCGCAUAUUUUGGACUACAACAAAUACCCUGGUAAGUUAAAGUUAAUAAGUGAUGAUUUCUGUAAUUCUUCAUUUACCGUUUCCAUCAUGUAUGUUAGGAGCAAUCUGCAAAGCAUGAAGAUAUUUACUUUGUCAUCCUUAUUUUCGAAACAGGUCUGGAGGAGCGCCAAAAGUUUGUACGUGAAUAUCUAAGUUCUGCAGGUUAGUCUAAUUUGCUCCUAUCUUAUUUGUUCAGUGUGACAAAUGAGAACCUGGAUGUGGAAACUCCUGUUAUCUACCUUAAUCUGCCUAAAUUGUGAAAUCUUGUAGAAUAUGAAGCAAUAGCUUUUAGGUUUAGAAACUAAGAGUUGAUAGAAAGCAGUAAAAUUCAAAGCUUAGGCUCAUGUACCUAACAGGCCAAGUUAGACACAUUGGCCUGGGUUCCAUAGAUGAUUUUUACUGCAAACAACAAAAUAUCAAUUGUCAACUUCAUAAUUUCUGCAAGUAAUAGAGCCCUGCCCUUACAAUCUCUUGCUUACAUAGCCAAUUCCUUUUGAAUGGAUAUCCAAUUUCCUUCAAGCUACCUAAAAGUCAAUGACCAUGCAGCUCAAUAUACUUGUGUGGGUUAUAGUGACCCACGUUUUAGGUGACAACAAAAUCAAUCCUAGUUUUCUCCACCUAUUUAUACUCAUCCGGUCGUAGCAUUUUGUCUAACAUAAUUAAUAGGCUGAAAGUGACCUGUUAAAUGGUUGAUGUACAAUUCAAUGGUAAGCUUUGAUUGUUUCUAGUAAUAGCUUGAUGAGCCUUUUUUCAAGAUAAUGACAGCUUUUGACAAGUUCAUUGAUGAUUUUCAGGCCAUGAACCUACUGAUGCUGAAGUCAAGCAGCUCACCAUCAACGUGGAGAAGUACACUCUUGCAAACCAUUUGUUCUGGGGAUUAUGGGGAAUCAUUUCAGUAAGUAUUUUGAAGGGUUUGAUUUUGCUGUUUCAUUUGCCUGCUUUGACGGAGAAAGAUACCAAGUACAUGAAAACUUUUUUUUUUUUUUUUUGGUUUGGUGUUUGGAUUUGCAGGCAUAUGUCAACAAUAUUGACUUUGAUUACAUGGAGUAUGCAAGGCAGAGGUUUCAGCAGUACUGGCUCAAGAAACCCAAGAUUUUAGAUAUCUCAGUAGACUCAUUGUGUGAAACCAAUGAUUCAGCAGCAGAACUUAAAAUUUAGUUUUCCUCUCCUUUCCUUUUCCUAUAGUUUCAAAUCUUGUAUAGUUUAUAUGUAUUUAUAACUGUUGCAAUAUAUCAAUGCAACAUCUCAUCCGGUUGACUUUUUUGUCAUGUUGGGUGAGCCCAGAGGGAACAUAAUUAUAAGGAGCACAUGGUCAAAACAAGAAGUAAUCAAUCAAAUGGACCAUUUGUUAUAGUAACUUAAUUAAGAGUGUCGGCACAGAAAUUUAUUCUCCUCCGCCCAAUUAGCAAAUCAUCGAUGCUCGUAGACAUGCCAAAUUGACAUUUUGAAUAUCUUAAUAUGCUCUGAUUGCCAAGAAUGAGAACAAAGUUCUUUUGUAGAGACGACAAAUGGUAAAGAAAAAGCUAAAUGCAAUUCUAGUAUAAUCAUCAGUCAUUAUUACUUCAGAUUAAAGCUCCCAGUGUCCACACUUGCUGCUUCGUUCAUGACGACUGAUAAGCGUGUAAAUUUACUUAAAUGUGCAAAAUAUGGAUUUGGGGCAGGGACGGUCAUACUGAUGACCGUCCCUGCACGGUUAAGGGCCAAGAUUUGCCCUCAAAAUUUUGUGCGGCUGAGAUUACACCAUGUAACUCAAUUUUCGCGUCAAGUGUGGGGCCCACCACUAUCUGUUCUGAAAAUACAUUCUGUAAAAAAAAAGUUACAUCGUGUGUAAAUAUCAUCCGUCCGCAGGUCCUACAAGCCGCCAGCCUUGGUCUUGUGUCCUCCUUUCAUUUAUCAGUCUGCAGGGUCAAUAUCACAUAUAUCCCCACCACCGACGAAGAAGACUUUUAGCUGGAAUCAGCAAUAAAGUCGACAUCAGAAUCUCUUGCGUAUUUUUAUUUUUUCUUCUUUUUCGAGUGGAUUGAUAACCUAACGAAGUAAACCAACUACUCUUGGAGUAAUUAGCCGCCAAGAGAGGUUUAGAACUCUACUUGGUCAAGGGAUAAAAUGCACCCGUUCGGAUUCUCCUUGAGUCUCUUCAGGUUCUCCCCUCCCCUUAGUAUAGAAUAAGUGUAGGUUUAUCGUAUCCCGAAAAGAAAAAAAAAAGAGAUAACCUAACGAAGUAGGGGUUGGAAGGACAAUAAUUUAAGUUUGGUCCACCACAAGGAUCAAAAUAUAAAUUCUUUGGCGAAAUUGAAGCAGGAUUCAAGAGGAUAGACCAGACAUAGAGCGAAGAUUUUCAAUGAUGGAGUCUAUAGCAGAAUGAGAACCCUUUGUAGCUGCAAACAACAGGUGUUUAGGAGCUUCAGCUCUGUCGAAGUAUAAUGAUCCUGGUACUAGUUUUUCUUUUGGCUGCAAAGCUAACCACACCACUGUAUCUGCACCUUCCU
rnacentral:lncRNA from 1 species